rnacentral:rRNA from 1 species
AUGGCCAGGCGUUUGUCGUCUCGGAGGAGCAGACACUCGACUGGAUUCGUGAAUUGUUUGGCGAACUACUCAGUGGAGGUGCAAAGGGUAGCAGGCGAGCUGCUGCGAGCCAUGGCGGAGAACCUGGGCGUGAGGGACCACUCGGACAUGACGAGGCUGGCCGCGUCGCAGGCGGUGAGGAUGAACUACUACCCGCCUUGCCCGGAGGCGCACGUGGACAGGGUGCUGGGCCUCUCACCGCACUCGGAUGCCGUCGCGCUGACGCUGCUGCUGCAGGUCUGCCCAGUCCCCGGGCUGCAGAUCAAUAGGAACGCCGGCUGGGUCCCGGUCAUGCCGCUCCCCAGUGCCCUCGUCGUCAACGUCGGCGAUGUGGUUGAGGUGCUGACCAACGGGAAGUACAAGAGCGUCGAGCACAGGGCGGUGGAUAACGCACGCGAGCAUCGGAUGUCCAUCACGGCGUUCCAUAGCGCCAAGUUCGGCGGCACGUACGGGCCGCUGGAGGAGGUCGUGGGAGACGAGGAGGCCCGGUACAGGACUAUCAACGUCAAUGAGUACACCAAGCUUAUGCUCUCCGGCAAGCUAGACGGUAAGAACAUCAUAGACGCAAUGAAGAUCAAUUGA